UGAAUAGCAUCCUCCUCUUUAGGCACUCUCAUUCUGGAAAAUAAUUGACUAAAAUCAUUGUCUGUUUCACUUCAAUUUUCGCUAUUACCAACUUCAAAGGCGAAUCCCAAAUGCAUCCUCCAGGAAAAAAGUACAAUAUUUUACAGUUUUUGUCCAUUUCUGAAUUUGAAGUUAGUUCAUUCUGUGUUGUGACAAUCCCUAACAUCGCUCCGUCGCUUAAUACAUUUAACAUUAACAUCCGUAAACUAAAUAAUUGUAGCAGUGUUCCCUAAUUAAUACCAGAUGUACUACCGGAUCAACUCUCGUCGCCAACAUUACGUGUGCUUCGCGGUUCCGCUGGGACCACAACUAGGGCCGUGACCCGCAACACCUCAACGCGAAAACACAAAAGACCAGUGCAACAAAUACGACACGGGCUGAUCUGAUGAGCAAAAAUGUUGCUUAAACGUAAGAGUAACAACGUAAGAGGAUGUCCGCUCCAGAGGGUCAUUGUCUUGUUGCAAAGCACUCUGGAGAAGGUUUUCGUCCAGGAUAUCCCUGUAAUUGGCCGCAUUCAUCUUUCCUUCGAUUGCAACCGUCCUGUCCCUGCAGCUGAAAAACACCCCCACAACAUGAUGGUGCCAGCACAAUGCUUCACUGUUGGGACUGUAUUGAACAGGUGAUGAGCAGUGCCUGGUUUUCUCCACACAUACCGCUUAGAAUUCAGGCCAAAAAGUUCUAUCUUGGUCUCAUCAGACCCGAGAAUCUUAUUUCUCACCAUCUUGGAGUCCUUCAGGUGUUUUUUAGGAAACUCCAUGCAGGCUUUCAUGUGUCUUGCACUGAGGAGAGGCUUCCGUCGGGCUACUCUGCCAUAACUCCCUGACUGGUGGAGGGCUGCAGUGAUGGUUGACUUUGUCAACAACAGCUUUGUCAUACAGCUCUUAAAUUGUGACUGGCCAAACUUGGAUAUUUCAGCCCACUUCUAACUUGAGAAAACACCUUGCGGUACCUAUCAAAUUGUAUACCUGGAGGAGUCGGCGUCUUUUGUUGCUUGACCAAAGUGGACUUUGCCGUUUUGAAUGUGUCAAGUUGAGCAUCCCGUCGAGUCCGAGGAGGACGUUCCUCAGACUGCGCAGCGACC